rnacentral:rRNA from 1 species
AUGCCUCUUGUCGACAAGGUCUCAAACAAGAUGAAGGGCUGGAAACCCAAGUUGUUGGCUCCGGCAGGCCGUCUCACUCUAACUUGCUCCGUCCUCCUGGCGCUCCCAUUACACUUUAUGGAAGCUCUCCCUCUGCCGGCUUGGGCGAUCAAGAUUAUCAACCGACGUUGUCGAGGUUUUAUCUGGAAGGGCGAGGAGGAGAUUUGUGGGGGCCACUGCCUCAUGCCUUGG